GUUGGGGUGGCAGAGCCAGGUAAUAAUGCGCAGGGCCUAAGCCCCUGAUAUCAGAUGUCCAAAUCCUCUCCCCAACA
rnacentral:tRNA from 1 species